UACGUAGGUGGCAAGCGUUUGUCCGGAUUUAUUGGGUUUAAAGGGUGCGUAGGCGGCCUUGUAAGUCAGUGGUGAAAUACUCCAGCUUAACUGGAGGGGUGCCAAUGAUACUGCAGGGCUUGAGUACAGAUGAGGUAGGCGGAAUUGACGGUGUAGCGGUGAAAUGCAUAGAUAUCGUCAAGAACACCGAUAGCGAAGGCAGCUUACUGGGCUGUAACUGACGCUGAGGCACGAAAGUGUGGGGAUCAAACAGG
rnacentral:rRNA from 1 species